CAGCUGAUCAACUAAACGAUGUAGACUUGUGCAAAGUUCAUUGCGGAUGAGGUAGUAACUGGAAACCUAUUAAAUGAAAGUGAUGUGUCACGCUCACUCUUCUUAUCUUGAGAUAGUCAGCUGGAGAUAGCAGGAGGAGGAUAGCUUUCUUAUCUACAAGGUAUCAUAAUCUCCACAGCAAGAUUUCGGUACCUACACAGCUACUGAGUUGGCCGAAUGAAAAAAGAAAGGGGAGAAAGAAAAGAAACAUAAGUAUACCUUCGUUUUGUCAAGUGUUCUCAAUGAGCAAACACACAUCAUUGCUUAGCAGAUAGAGUUUGACAUUGUCACUCAUCUCUCCUUACGAUCACCUACAUUCAUUUGCGACUGUGAUAACAGUGAAAUUUCUACCGAUCUAUCUGUUUCUUCUGUCAUGACUAUUUUCAACUAUUUUGACUUGGUGCUUCACUUCAGGUUUGUGAACAGGCUAUUCUUCUCUCCUGAGUUGCUAGAACUGUAAAAGUUUCAGACUUCCAGCCCAAUUUUACUGCAAGCUAUGAACUGAAAACCAUGUUAUUUGUAAGAGCAGCGGAUAUGAGAAUCCACUGUGCUCCCCAGCCAGCGCAGCAGGACACCGUGGAGAUUCGAAAGCACUUGCGAUAUAACUGCUCUCGCAAAGGCCAUGGGCUGCAGCUGACACUCAAUGAUACAUAUCGGGACCAUCUGAGAAUUACAGAUUUUUAACUGAUUUCAAAAUUUGUUCCUUAUUUUUGUUGUAAAAGUUACAAACUGUUUAGUUUUUUGUUCAAUUUUAUUAAAUGACUCAGCAUUGAUUAA